rnacentral:rRNA from 1 species
GCGACGCCGCGUGAACGAUGAAGUCUUUCGGGAUGUAAAGUUCUGUCAGCAGGGAAAAUAAUGAUGGUACCUGCAGAGGAAGCACCGGCAAACUAUGUGCCAGCAGCCGCGGUAAUACAUAGGGUGCGAGCGUUGUCCGGAUUUACUGGGCGUAAAGCGUAUGUAGGUGGUAUCUUAAGUCAAAUUUUAAAUUCUAAGGCUCAACCUUAGUUCGGGUUUGAUACUGAGAUGCUAGAGAUUUGGAGAGGAAAGCGGAACAAACAGUGUAGCGGUGAAAUGCGUAGAUAUUGUUUGGAACACCCGUGGCGAAGGCGGCUUUCUGGCCAAAUUCUGACGCUAAGAUACGAAAGCGUGGGGAUCAAACAGGAUUAGAUACCCUGGUAGUCCACGCUGUAAACGAUGUACAUUAGGUAUGGGAGGUAUCGACCCCUUCCGUGCCGAAGCUAACGCGUUAAAUGUACCGCCUGGGGAGUACGGUCGCAAGAUUAAAACUCAAAGGAAUUGACGGGGGCCCGCACAAGCAGUGGAUCAUGUGGUUUAAUUCGACGAUACGCGAAAAACCUUACCAGAUCUUGACAUCUAGUGAAUCCCAUAGAAGUAUGGGAGUGCCCGCAAGGGAACGCUAAGACAGGUGGUGCAUGGUUGUCGUCAGCUCGUGUCGUGAGAUGUUGGGUUAAGUCCCGCAACGAGCGUAACCCUCGUGCUGUGUUGCUACAUUUAGUUGAGCACUCUCAGCAGACUGCCCGUGGUAAACGGGAGGAAGGUGGGGAUGACGUCAAAUCAUCAUGCCCCUUAUGUUCUGGGCCACACACAUGAUACAAUGGACGGUACAAAGGGAUGCCAACUCGCAAGAGGGAGCAAAUCUCAAAAAACCGUCCCCAGUUCAGAUUAAAGGCUGCAACUCGCCUUCAUGAAGCCGGAAUUGCUAGUAAACGCAGAUCAGAACGCUGUGUUGAAUACGUUCCCGGGCCUUGUACACACCGCCCGUCACACCAUGAAAGUCAGAAAUAUCCGAAGUCAGUGAGCCAACCGCAAGGAGGCAGCUGCCUAAGAUAGCGCUGGUGAUUGGGGUGAAGUCGUAACAAGGUAGCCGUACCGGAAGGUG